UAAAUAAAUAGUUACUUAAUACAUACACACCAGUAUGUAAAAUAUAUUUUUUAUUUUUACAUAAAAUCAUAAGCGUUCGAAUAACUACUUAUUUAUAUGUUUACAAUAUUGCAUCAGACACAAAAAUUAAGCAAAAAAAUUAAAAUUAAAAAGACAUAAAAAAGAAAAGUAGGCACCAUAUCUAGCCAGUGCUUAGGUGAUUCUCACGCCUCGAUGUGAUGUGUUUUAAACGUCAUGAGGUGUCCUCACUGUAAACUGGCUGUUAGUUGGCUCUAUAAAAGAAAAGCAGGCACAGUGCCUAGUCAGUGCUUAGGUGACUGUCGCGCCGUGAUGUGAUGCAAUUUAGCAGUCAUAAUGUAAUGUCGCGGGAAGCUGGCUGUUAGCUGGCUCUAUAAAAGAAAAGCAAGCACGGUGCCUAGUCAGUGCUUAGACGACUGUCGCGCGGUGAAGUGAUGCGAUUUAACAGUCAUAAUGUAAUCUCGCGGGAAGCUGGCUCUAUAAAAGAAAAGAAAGCACGGUGCCUAGUCAGUGCUUAGGUGACUGUCGCGCCGUGAGGUGAUGCGAUUAACAGUCAUAAUGUAAUCUCGCGGGAAGCGGGCUGUUAGCUGGCUCUAUAAAAGAAAAGCAGGCACGGUGCCUAGUCAGUGCUUAGGUGACUGUCGCGCCGUGAGGUGAUGCGAUUUAACAGUCAUAAUGUAAUGUCGCGGGAAGCUGGCUGUUAGCUGGCUCCAUAAAAGAAUAGCAGGCACGGUGCCUAGUCAGUGCUUAGACGACUGUCGCGCGGUGAAGUGAUGCGAUUUAACAGUCAUAAUGUAAUCUCGCGGGAAGCUGGCUGUUAGCUGGCUCUAUAAAAGAAAAGCAGGCACGGUGCCUAGUCAGUGCUUAGACGACUGUCGCGCGGUGAAGUGAUGCGAUUUAACAGUCAUAAUGUAAUCUCGCGGGAAGCUGGCUGUUAGCUGGCUCUAUAAAAGAAAGCAGGCACGGUGCCUAGUCAGUGCUUAGGUGACUGUCGCGCCGUGAAGUGAUGCGAUUUAACAGUCAUAAUGUAAUGUCGCGGGAAGCUGGCUGUUAGCUGGCUCUAUAAAAGAAAAGCAGGCACGGUGCCUAGUCAGUGCUUAGACGACUGUCGCGCGGUGAAGUGAUGCGAUUUAACAGUCAUAAUGUAAUGUCGCGGGAAGCUGGCUGUUAGCUGGCUCUAUAAAAGAAAAGCAAGCACGGUGCCUAGUCAGUGCUUAGGUGACUGUCGCGCGGUGAAGUAAUGCGAUUUAACAGUCAUAAUGUAAUGUCGCGGGAAGCUGGCUGUUAGCUGCUCUAUAAAAGAAAAGCAAGCACGGUGCCUAGUCAGUGCUUAUACGACUGUCGCGCGGUGAAGUGAUGCGAUUUAACAGUCAUAAUGUAAUCUCGCGGGAAGCUGGCUGUUAGCUGGCUCUAUAAAAGAAAAGCAGGCACGGUGCCUAGUCAGUGCUUAGGUGACUGUCGCGCCGUGAGGUGAUGCGAUUUAACAGUCAUAAUGUAAUGUCGCGGGAAGCUGUCUGUUAGCUGGUUCUAUAAAAGAAAAGCAGGCACGGUGCUAAUCAGUGCUUAGGUGACUGUCGCGCCGUGAAGUGAUGCGAUUUAACAGUCAUAAUGUAAUCUCGCGGGAAGCUGGCUGUUAGCUGGCUCUAUAAAAGAAAAGCAGGCACGGUGCCUAGUCAGUGCUUAGACGACU